CCUACGGGAGGCAGCAGUGGGGAAUAUUGGACAAUGGGCGAAAGCCUGAUCCAGCCAUGCCGCGUGUGCGAAGAAGGCCUUUUGGUUGUAAAGCACUUUAAGCGAGGAGGAGGCUACUUAGAUUAAUACUCUAGGAUAGUGGACGUUACUCGCAGAAUAAGCACCGGCUAACUCUGUGCCAGCAGCCGCGGUAAU
rnacentral:rRNA from 1 species